GUAGGUGGCAAGCGUUGUCCGGAAUUAUUGGGCGUAAAGCGCGCGCAGGCGGUCCUUUAAGUCUGAUGUGAAAGCCCACGGCUCAACCGUGGAGGGUCAUUGGAAACUGGGGGACUUGAGUACAGAAGAGGAAAGCGGAAUUCCAAGUGUAGCGGUGAAAUGCGUAGAGAUUUGGAGGAACACCAGUGGCGAAGGCGGCUUUCUGGUCUGUAACUGACGCUGAGGCGCGAAAGCGUGGGGAGCAAACAGGGAUUAGAUACCCUGGUAGUCCACGCCGUAAACGAUGAGUGCUGAGUGUUAGGGGGGUUUCCGCCCCCUUAGUGCUGCAGCUAACGCAUUAAGCACUCCGCCUGGGGAGUACGGCCGCAAGGCUG
rnacentral:rRNA from 1 species